AACGAACGCUGGCGGCAUGCCUAACACAUGCAAGUCGAACGAAACCUUCGGGUCUAGUGGCGCACGGGUGCGUAACGCGUGGGAACCUGCCCUUAGGUUCGGAAUAACUCCCCGAAAGGGGUGCUAAUACCGGAUAAUGUCUUCGGACCAAAGAUUUUUCGCCGUUGGAUGGGCGCGCGUUGGAUUAGCUAGUUGGUAGGGUAAAAGCCUACCAAGGCGACGAUCCAUAGCUGGUCUGAGAGGAUGAUCAGCCACACUGGGACUGAGACACGGACCAGACUCCUACGGGAGGGAGCAGUGGGGAAUAUUGGACGAUGGGCGAAAGCCUGAUCCAGCAAUGCCGCGUGAGUGAUGAAGGCCUUAGGGUUGUAAAGCUCUUUUACCCGGGAUGAUAAUGACAGUAACGGGAGAAUAAGCUCCGGCUAACUCCGUG
rnacentral:rRNA from 1 species